rnacentral:rRNA from 1 species
AGUGAACGCUGGCGGUAGGCCUAACACAUGCAAGUCGAACGGCAGCACAGUAAGAGCUUGCUCUUACGGGUGGCGAGUGGCGGACGGGUGAGGAAUACAUCGGAAUCUACUUUUUCGUGGGGGAUAACGUAGGGAAACUUACGCUAAUACCGCAUACGACCUACGGGUGAAAGCAGGGGAUCUUCGGACCUUGCGCGAUUGAAUGAGCCGAUGUCGGAUUAGCUAGUUGGCGGGGUAAAGGCCCACCAAGGCGACGAUCCGUAGCUGGUCUGAGAGGAUGGUCGCCCACAUGGGAGCUUAGACACGGACAAGACGCCUACGGGAGGCAGCAGUGGGGAAUAUGGGGCAAUGGGCGCAAGCCUGAUCCAGCCAUACCGCGUGGGGGAAGAAGGCGUCGGGGUUGGAAAGCCCGUUUUUGGGGAAAGAAAAGCAGCAGGUUAAGACCCCGCUGUUGUGACGGUACCCAAUGAAUAAGCACCGGCUAACUUCGUG